rnacentral:tmRNA from 1 species
GGGGCUGAUAUAGCAUUCGACAAACGGACAUUAACAGGAUAUAUUGCAGGUCGUUUUACUGACGUAUAAGUUUUUAAUUGCAAACCCAAUUGCAAAAGCAUACAACAAGGCUAAGGAAGUAGUUGCUAACGCACUUACUCCACAAAGUCUUGCUGUUGCAACAGCUUAAUACAUUAAGCCAUCUAUACAAGUAGGUAGCAUAAGUUGUAAUAGGUGUCAUAUUCAUGCUACUUGUCUUGGUUAAGGUCAGCAGCUUAAUCAAGAGACCCACUCUGCGCACGAAGUAUACUAUGAGUGUUAAUGAUCGAGGUAUGCAACGUGUAAAAAUUAACCACAUUAACUAUUCCUGUAGACAUAUAUUCAGUUACCGUUUGGACCCGGGGGCAGUACCCGGCAGCUCCACCA